ACCCAGAUCCCUGUCCCUGCACCCGGAGUUGCUGUGGGCAGACCCCAGGUCUCCGCUGCACUCGGUCGCGUCCCUGGAGUGUCCGGACUGUGCCGGUGGGGAGAGUUUUCCCCUAAGCCUGCGAUUCCCAUCUCAGGACUGGAAAUCGGCAGUCUGGCUGCGUGGUUCUCUCAUCUCGUUUCUUCCCUCAGGACUGUAAGGGGGUUCGACUGGAGGUGAUUAUCCUGGGCCGCUCCUGACCUCCGAGCAAGCGGAGCCAAAAUGUCUCCGGAAUCUAAAAAGCUUUUCAACAUCGUAAUUUUAGGAGUUGCCUUUAUGUUUAUGUUCACCGCCUUUCAGACUUGUGGAAAUGUGGCGCAAACUGUCAUCAGGAGCUUAAAUAGCACAGAUUUUCAUGGCAGUGGAUAUACCAGCUUGGCAAUUAUUUAUGGCGUGUUCUCUGCCUCAAAUUUGAUCACUCCGUCCGUGGUCGCCAUUGUCGGGCCUCAGAUCUCUAUGUUUGUCAGUGGUUUGUUCUACAGCAUAUACAUUGCCGUUUUUAUCCAACCUUUCCCAUGGUCCUUCUACACAGCAUCUGUUUUCAUCGGGAUCGCAGCUGCCGUCCUUUGGACAGCACAAGGAAAUUGCCUGACAAUAAACUCUGAUGAACACACAAUCGGGAGAAACAGCGGGAUUUUCUGGGCACUCUUGCAAUCUAGCUUGUUCUUUGGGAAUCUCUACAUAUAUUUUGCCUGGCAAGGGAAAACCCAGAUUUCAGAGAAUGACAGAAGGACUGUGUUCAUCGCUCUGACAGUCAUAAGCCUCGUGGGGACCGUUCUGUUCUUUCUCAUUCGGAAACCAGAUCCUGAGAAUGUCCUAGGAGAAGAAGAUGAGUCUUGCGAUGAUCAGGACAUGGAAGCCACCGAGUCUGCCCAGAACAACGUGACAAAGGCAGUUGAUGCGUUUAGUAAGUAUUCUCACCUACAGGUGGAAGCCUUUUCGGCCUGCUGAGCAAGAACAGUCGCUUCGGCAGGAACCCCGUGGUGCUGCUGGGCACCCUGGUGCACUUCGUAGCCUUUUACUUGAUCUUCCUCAACAUGCCUGGAGACGCGCCCAUUGCCCCCGUGGAAGGGACCAACAGCAGUGCAUACAUCAGGCCCAGCAAAGAAGUUGCCAUCCUCUGCAGCUUUCUGCUGGGUCUGGGAGACAGCUGCUUCAACACCCAGCUGCUCAGCAUAUUGGGUUUUCUCUACUCGGAAGACAGCGCACCGGCCUUCGCCGUCUUUAAGUUUGUUCAGUCGAUCUGCGCAGCCGUGGCUUUCUUCUACAGCAACUACCUGCUCCUCCACUGGCAGCUCCUGGUCAUGGUGAUAUUUGGGUUUUUUGGAACCAUUUCCUUCUUCGCCGUGGAGUGGGACGCUGCUGCCAUCGUGGCCAGAGGCUCUGACUACCGAAGCAUCUGAUGCGAUAAGGGAGCAUCUCUGGGAAACACAGCCGGUCACUGCUGGUUAAAGCGGCCGCCUGUCUCACAAUCGCUGGACGAUGCUGAGUGUGGAAAGUGAGAACCAGGGCUGUAAAGUCAGGCGGGUUGGUAGUCAAGUUUACAGACCUUAGCAGCUCCCGCUAGCCAGCGGAGAAAGGGAAUCCUGCUCUGUCAGUUACAACUGUUCCAAGAUGUCUGUCCGCCCCCUCCCUGAGUCCCUCACAAUCACAUCCCCUUGGAAAGACUCUGCCUGGCUCGCCAUGUGUCACAGGUGUUCUUGCUGGCUGUGGAGUGUUUCACUCUUUGGGAAUAGGGAGCAGUUGCCACUCUGUGUGGAUCCGGAAAUGACUCCAACACAUAUCAGGGAUGCUAAGACAGUUGUUUAGAGACAGGACCUCACUGUGUAGCCCAGGCUGGUCUUGGACUUGCAGCCCUCCCUCCCCCGCCUCCAGUGUUGGGUUAUCCUAGGUGCCCAACACGGAUUUAAAAUACUCCAGUCUUUUUGAGUUAGGGUCUUGAUAUGCAGCCUUGGCUGGCCUGGACCUUGUACACCAGGCAAUGCUCCUGCCUUCGUCUCCAGACUGCCAGGGUGGUGAGAAAUGCUACCACACACCACUUGGCCUGAGACCUCAACCUCUCUUUAACGCUUUGUUGAACAAGUCUUACCUUGUUAUUCCCAGCAGGGGGUGGCCAGUUAUGUACCAUGAGGUAAAGACUGUGUCAUUUGUCAAUCUUAAAAGCAUAUUUUUAAUAGGAAAGAAUAUUAACUGGGGAAGGACUUCUGCUGUGGCUGUCCUGACAGUUACAAUAAAGAAAACUCCAUCCUUGAGUGGGUUCUGCAUAGCCGUCCUCUCUGGGAGAAUGCUUGAGUCCCCAUAAGAACUGACACUCUUAGGAUUGAGACAUUAAAUUAAUUAAGCAUCAUGAUCAGGACUUCUGUGUACCACAGGUUGGCCUCCAAUUUGUGUUCUUCAACAACAUUUUAUUUUUAAAUUCUUUUUUAUUUAUGUGUGUAUGUGUCUGCCUGCUGUCUGUAUGUGCAUUGUGUGCGUGCGUGCCUGCAGAACUCAAGGAAGUCAGUGUGGGGAUCGGACCUCUGUGGACUGAAGUCACGGACGGUUGGGGACUGUCUGGUAAGAGGUGUGGUGUCUUACUUAAACUUUGCUCUUGUUGUGAAGAGACCCCAGGCCACUUUUUUUUUUUGAGACAGGGUUUCUCUGUGUAUCACUGGCUGUCCUAGAACUCACAAGGCUGG
rnacentral:lncRNA from 1 species